UACGAAGGGGGCUAGCGUUGCUCGGAAUCACUGGGCGUAAAGCGCACGUAGGCGGCGUUCUAAGUCAGGGGUGAAAUCCUGGAGCUCAACUCCAGAACUGCCUUUGAUACUGGAGAGCUUGAGUCCGGAAGAGGUGAGUGGAACUCCGAGUGUAGAGGUGAAAUUCGUAGAUAUUCGGCGGAACACCAGUGGCGAAGGCGACUCACUGGCCCGAUACUGACGCUGAGGCGCGAAAGCGUGGGGAGCAAACAGG
rnacentral:rRNA from 1 species